rnacentral:rRNA from 1 species
GACGAACGCUGGCGGCGCGCUUAACACAUGCAAGUCGAACGGGGUCCUCGGGCCCGAGUGGCGAACGGGUGCGUAACACGUGAGCAACCUGCCCAUGCAUGGGGGAUAACCCGGGGAAACCCGGGCUAAUACCGCAUACGUUCGCCGGGUGCAUACCCUGGCGAGGAAAGCUCCUGCAAGGGAGCGUGCGUGGAGGGGCUCGCGGCGUAUCAGCUAGCUGGUGAGGUAACGGCUCACCAGGGCGACGACGCGUAGCCGAUCUGAGAGGAUGAUCGGCCACAUUGGGACUGAGAUACGGCCCAGACUCCUACGGGAGGCAGC